ACAGAGCUUCAUUACCUAACGUUCUUUCUUUUGAAUUUUACUAAUAGGGACAGGGAUGGUUUUCUAGCGUUGUGCUUACUUCGGGCUAGCUCGACUACUUAGAUGUUAAGGAAAAUCCGUGGUUUCUUUAACCAAUCUUAGACAUUUGGUUAUCGUCCCCCCAAAAGAAUAUACUGCUGUACAAGGAUUACCAGUGUAAAUCUUCCUCUCCUGAUUGAUUCCUCUGUUCUUUUGUUGUAAACUAAAUUCUUCCGGUGGUGGAAAUAACCGAGUUGAUGGCUCCAACGGGGAACAAGAAUAUACAAUCCAAGCUGGUGCUUCUUGGGGACAUGGGGACUGGGAAGACCAGUUUAGCAUUAAGAUUUGUCAAAGGCCAGUUCCAUGAUUUUGAGGAAUCAACCAUUGGAGCAGCCUUCUUUACUCAAGUCUUGUCACUCAACGAAGCUACCAUAAAAUUUGAUAUAUGGGACACAGCAGGACAGGAACGUUAUCAUAGUUUAGCUCCAAUGUACUAUCGAGGUGCAGCUGCUGCUGUUAUAGUUUAUGAUAUCACAAACGCGGAUUCAUUUGAACGGGCCAAAAAGUGGGUUCAACAACUGCAGCGACACGGAAAUUCCAAUAUGAUUGUGGCUUUGGUGGCAAACAAGGCCGACUUAAGUUCAGACAGAACGGUGGAAAAUGAGGAAGGGGAGCAUUAUGCUAGAGAAAAUGGCUUGCUAUUCUUUGAAACUUCAGCAAAAACUGCACAGAAUGUGAAUGAGCUAUUUUAUGAAAUAGGUAGAAUCGCCUGGUGCUGCUGACUAAUGCUCAUACAUUUGCAGCCAAAAGUUUGGCAAAGGCAGUCCAUAUACGACAAGCUGGAAUGAAACUGCAAAGCAGAUCUGCAGAUCAGAGAAGAGGGCUCUUUUGCUGCUCUGGAUGAAGACAAACAUGAUUGUAGGAAAACGUCCCUUCACAAGAAGCAUCGUGGUGCAUAACUGCUGUCCAAUACCAUUGUUUCCUGAGGAGAUAAAAGGGACAGAAGAGGAAGAGAGAAGAGGGGGGAGGGGGGGGGGGGUUGUUCCUGCAUCUUCAUGUGUUACUUUUGAAAGCUACAAAUUCUUUGAUUGCUUUGGAUGCUUUGUAUACUUGUGCGCAUAACAUUAAUUUCCAAGUCGAGCACUAAUCUUCGGUGAAUAUGAUGGAUGAUAUUAGAGCCAGGUUUCAAUAAUAAACAAGAGAAUAAAUUGUAACAGAGAAUUGGACAUUUCCUAUGACCUCUCCCAUUUUUCUUAAUUAAUCAAAGUUUUCUGCCUA